CCGAGCCCCGGGAGGAGGCGCUCCCCUGCGUCGUCCGCACUUGCGCCCUUUCCCACCGCAACAGGUCAGGGGAGGGCGGAGGUGACGAGGGCGCCCGACCCGGGACUAGAGGACGGAAGGGUCUGGAAGAUGAACAGACUAGCCACUUUGCAUUGACUGGAAACAAUGGCAUUUACAGAAAGAGUCAACAGCAGUGGCAACAGACAGCAAGGCGUGUAGUUGUGUUGCCUGUCUCCCAGUAAUAAACCCAUGUGAUAUUUUACAUAAAUGGAUCACCAAAAGAGGAAAUUCGCCAACAGAGAUCAAAGCAC
rnacentral:lncRNA from 10 species